rnacentral:rRNA from 1 species
CCUACGGGGGGCAGCAGUGGGGAAUAUUGGGCAAUGGGCGCAAGCCUGACCCAGCAACGCCGCGUGAAGGAAGAAGGCUUUCGGGUUGUAAACUUCUUUUAAGAGGGAAGAGCAGAAGACGGUACCUCUUGAAUAAGCCACGGCUAACUACGUGCCAGCAGCCGCGGUAAUACGUAGGUGGCAAGCGUUGUCCGGAUUUACUGGGUGUAAAGGGCGUGCAGCCGGGAAGACAAGUCAGAUGUGAACUCCAGGGGCUCAACCCCUGAACUGCAUUUGAAACUGUCGUUCUUGAGUACUGGAGAGGG